rnacentral:rRNA from 1 species
UACGGAGGAUCCAAGCGUUAUCCGGAUUUAUUGGGUUUAAAGGGUGCGUAGGCGGCCUAUUAAGUCAGGGUGAAAGACGGUAGCUCAACUAUCGCAGUGCCUUUGAUACUGAUGGGCUUGAAUAUACUAGAGGUAGGCGGAAUGUGACAAGUAGCGGUGAAAUGCAUAGAUAUGUCACAGAACACCGAUUGCGAAGGCAGCUUACUAUGGUAUUAUUGACGCUGAGGCACGAAAGCGUGGGGAUCAAACAGG